UCUACAACUCAAGAUAUGGGCUGAACAUCGAAUAAACUGCAGAACAUAUUAAGACUUCUCUUUUGUUGCUAAGAUUUCAACUGAAAAAUAAUAGUAUUGAGUCUUGAGCUCUGCAUGAAUAUUUUAGGCCUACGUUUUAUCUUUCCAUC
rfam:Populus trichocarpa scaffold_18_contig_88, whole genome shotgun sequence.